GAAUCUUAAGUUGGUUGCACAGUCAGUCACAGACAGACAUGACAUUACACGUCGUACUCGUAACUUUCAUAAGUUACUUAAAAAGUUUAACAACGGAGAUCGGAUAACAAGUUAACUGCUUUUAAAUAAUUUCAGCUGAAGUUUUCGUGUACCUUGCCAACUAUAGGUGCUCAUGAGUUGUGACAAUAGAAAUGAAAUGGUCUAAUCCAAUAAUGCAAGCUCACAAGUCACAACCUAAUAUGUCUUCUGAAGAAAAAUCAAGUCUGUUGCAGUUGUAAAUCUUCAAGAUAUUGAUGCCUUCGCCAGAUCCAAUUCUUUGUUGCUGACGAGAAAGAGAAUUCAUAAUUUUGUGUGCAACAGACCGAAUGAGAACCAUUUUGUUGCCCAUCCAAGGAUCAGGAAAAGGCCAACACCACCAACACGGUCAACAAGGUUCUUUGUUUGUUUACCUCCUUGGCUGGUGAAAGAUUGUUGUGCAUCAAGUUAACCUGUGGCUGUUCCUUGUUGCUGGUGUCUUAUUAUGGAAGUUGCAGGCAGUAUUUUGUUCAAUUUGCAUUAUGUCUGUAGAUUUACAGCUAGUUUAAGUCUUCUUCAAGCUUCACCUUCUUCUUCGUUCCAGUCAAAUUCACACAUGGAUUUUUCAGCCAGUCUGUUGAAUUUGACAUGUACAAUUUUCUUUUUGGUUUAGCGUUUAUGUUCGCGUAGUUGCUGUCCGAUGUGGCGCACGUUGUUGCAGCCUAUGGUGUCUGGUGAAGGAUCUUUCUGCAUCAAGUUCAACUGGUCGUUCCUUGGUGGUGUUGUGUUACCAAAAUUGCAUCUUUAUAUUGUUAAAUUGUCAUCGUGACUAUGCAGUUUACCGUUUAUAAGUUCAGAAGCAACAAAAACAAAUAUGGGAUGUUUAUGUCAACAAAUAAUAAACAUGUUUUUGGGA